rnacentral:lncRNA from 13 species
AAUUGACAACUCAAUUCUGUAAGUUCAGAGGAAAACACCCAACAACAACCUCAACAAACACAGCCACCACAGGCCGAGGAGUGGGCGUGCCAGAAAUUCCAUCUGCAUGAAGUGUGCUGGGAAAAGCCUGGCGAGGAAUCCUGGUUGGUGAAAAACAGAUUCGGUGCUUGUUGUUCUGCUCCGUGAGUAAGUCACCAAAGAAAUGUGGGCGUGUGCCAUUGGAAAGAACAUGGACUUCCACAAAAUGUAUGAAUCACUUUUGUUAAUUGUCAGAGAAGAUAUGUAUUAAGUGAUUUACUUAGCUUCCGUAAUUAAAACAAAAUGAAAACAAGCAGCCUCUGCCUCUCAAUACUUUUAAAACUGAGGAUGGCAAAAUAAUGCAAACCAAAGCCACCAAUGCAUCUUGGCACAGUCAGCUGAGGACGGCAUGUUUUCUGAAACC